rnacentral:rRNA from 1 species
CCUACGGGCGGCAGCAGUGGGGAAUAUUGGGCAAUGGGCGCAAGCCUGACCCAGCAACGCCGCGUGAAGGAAGAAGGCUUUCGGGUUGUAAACCUCUUUCGUCAGGGAAGAGUAGAAGACGGUACCUGACGCAUACGCCACGGCUAUCUACGGGCCAGCCGCCGCGGUAAUACGUAGGUGGCAAGCGUUGUCCGGAUGUACGGGGUGUAAAGGGCGUGUAGCCGGGUUGACAAGUCAGAUGUGAAAGCCUGCGGCUUAACCGCAGCACUGCAUUUGAAACUGUUGGUCUUGAGUGCUGGAGAGGCAGACGGAAUUCCUAGUGUAGCGGUGAAAUGCGUAGAUAUUAGGAGGAACACCAGUGGCGAAGGCGGUCUGCUGGACAGCAACUGACGGUGAGGCGCGAAAGCGUGGGGAGCAAACAGGAUUAGAUACCCCAGUAGUC